rnacentral:lncRNA from 1 species
CUUCUAUCCUUUUUCAUUUUCCCUGUCCUUUAAAUGCACACAGUCAGGAGACUCAACAUCUCAAUUAAUGGAUCCAGUUAAGGAAUCGCAUCCUGCUGAAAUUAAUGCCGUUCCUUUUCUAGCCUCAAGAUUGCAGGGAUGGGAAAACCUCAAAACAUCCAGAGGAACAUCCAGAAAUGUUUAUCUGAAUCAUCUGAUGUUAUGUCUGCAAAAUGCUGGAAGUUUUCAAGAUGGCAUCAUCUGCAAGAGAAGGAGAAAAAAAAUGUCCCUAAAUGGUGGCGUAGAUGCUCAUUUUUCUAAGUGAGAGAAGAGGAGAACAGAGAGAGCUUUGUGGCUGAAAAUCAGUUUACUGAAAACCCAGUGAAUUGAAAUUUUACUUUGCUUCAUCUCAGUAGACGGAGCUUUGUGCUGAUAACUCAAAAUGACUAGAUCCUGGUUUAGUACUCAAAAACAUGACCCUCCUCACAGACUGACUAGAUCAAUUUGCAGUGGAUUGAUGAUAUAUAGAUUUGGGUUGCCCUGAGGGAGGUAUAAGAAACACUUAAUCCAGACUCCUCAUUAGCUUGUGCUGUGCUGGAAUUAAAGUGGCAAGGCUGGAUUAGUAAGAAAGAAAACUUGACGUUUGUGCAGUGUUGUUGUUAUUCCUAACUCCAUAAACAAAAGUGGGUUUUUAAAAUUGCUUCCUUGUCUAAAGUUGAAUUAAUCCUAUGCAUCAGAAUAUGGCAAGUCUUUUUUUAUGUGCUAAUUUACUCCUGUUGUCAAAUGCAUGGAUCUCUUAGAUAUUUUUAUACUGACUAGCAAAACCUCUGACAGCCUGAAUUUUAUCUGACCAAUGACAAUCUGUCUUUCCCUUAUUCUUUUUGAAGAAAUGGCAAGCAUAUUAUAUACAGGGUAAUCAAUUCAUACUUCACUGCCUUUCAUUAGCCCCUACUCUUUCCAUUAAAAAUAUGAUCCCAAAUUCAUUAUUUCCCCCACUUCAAAACAGUGUUGUUUAACCAUUUCUGCUCUGUGCAAUGCAAAGUUUUGAUUUAAAGCAGGCUAGAGUUUAAACAUGGCUUUCAUCAAACAGUAACAUCUUUGUCAAACUUCAACAGAAUUAACUUUAACUGCCACGGAAGUUUUGACUGCCAUCAUAAAAAUGUUUGAUUAGUGUUAAUAAUUUAUUAAAUUGGUUUGUCCUGACAUUGCCAACAUGUUGGAAAUCUCUCAACCAUUAAAACAUUAACAGAGUGUGUAAUACAAUGCUCCCUCUGUUCUGAGUUUUAUUUCAGGACCACAUUUUUCUGAGUCUGGUUCUGUGGUAUUCCAAUAUGCUCUCAUUAGGACAGCAUUAAAAGAUGAAAUAUGACAAAUAUUAAAAAGCGUGGGAAUAGAGAGGAGAGUAUGCUUGGUGUACCUCCAUGGGCAGCUUUGCUUGGAUUAAACCAUGCAAAGUAAGCCUUUUGUCAAAAUAUGGGGAAAUAAAAUUGCUAGCUGAGUAUCUUUAAGAGAUGGA